GCUCUUUCUACAUGUGCCCACCCCCAGGCAGCUUCUGGGGCUCCUUGUCCCUGCUGCUGCACUUGCUGCCUGCAUGUGGGGUGCUCUGUUGCCACAGCAGCACUUGGCCUGUGUGAGGACCCUGGCAUGUUGCCCUUUGCAUGCAGAGGCAGCCUCCUCGUAGAGUGUGUGCGCUUGCUGACAUCCUGACCCUACGUGGAAGGGGUGGGGCAACAGGGAGCUUGCCCUGUAGCAAGGGCAGCAGGCUGGGAGCGUGUGGGAGGUGGCGUCAUUAACCUGGCUGGCUCCCCUUUGCUCAUUAAUAUGUUGCUGGGGCUGAUGGGUCAGCUGGGUUUCAAGCUUUGCUUAGGUUGCCUCUGCAGUUCCUGGGGUGCCUCUCCACUGGGCCCUGUGCCCGGCCCACCACAUGCUUAGCCUGGGAAUGGAGUCUGCUCUCAGUGGAGCGGGCCCAUCGCGUUCUGCUCAUCAGCCGUAAGACUAGACCUAUGGCAGACUUUGUGCAGGCUGGGCCUGGUUCAGGGCCAUCCAGAAUAACGCCCCCUUUUUGUCUGGAAGCAGCUGGUCUCUGCCCCCGCAAUUCGGGAAGGGUUAAUUCUCUAAACUGGCCGAUUCCAGCCCAUUAGUCCAUAAUGCGGACUAGGCAAUUUGCAUAUUUUUGGACAGAAAAGUACACGAAGGGGCCAAGUAUGGAGUGUGCGAGGCAAUGUCUGAGCAUGCUCCGUAGCUGCUUUCCCGCAGGAUUUUCCAUCUGCCUCCGGUACUCCGGAUCCAGAGCCUGAAAUCACGUCUCUUUGUUAAUCCAGGGGAGCCAGAACUCAGGGUGAUGGGAAGGCGCAUUAAGAGUAAUCCAGCAAAGUGGCUUAGCCAUUAAUGGGUCCCCGCUCCGUGCGUCAGGUCCAGUCCUGUGCUCCUGUUUUAUUGCCUCCACUCCAGUUCUUUUUCAUUUGGCUGAGGAAAUGGAAAUCUCACACAGGAAGUGCUGGGCCUCAUUUUGUGGAGAUGGAGUCUGUUUUCUGUUUGUCGGCUGCUCGAUGUGGGACCGUUGCCUGCUCAUGUGAACUGCUGCCCAUCUUUGGGCAGGAACUCAAACUCGGAGGGGUCACGUGAGCAGGCUCACACCAAUCCCGCACUCCCCUCGCGCUGCCUGUGCCGGGAGCCGCCAGGCCCUCUGCGCCGGGCAGGCCUCAAGAUGGAAUCUCUGAUUGGGCUCAUGCAGCCAGCACACCACGCUCCAGGGAAGAGCUGCCUCCUCCGCGGUCAGGGCGCAGACUUGGGGUGGCGUCUCAUGUGGGGACUGGGCCACUUUGGCUCUAGGCAUCCCAGCAGGUGCAGGCUCCCAGAGUCCUCUCUCGCAGGAAGAGGUCAUCACCCAGCCCCAGGGAGGUCAUGGAAGCACAUGGAGGUCAAGGAGCACAUGGAAGUGGAGACCUUGGACCAUGGGCAGCUGUUGGGUGUGGGCCCCACCACAGUGAGCCUCUGCCCUGCCCAGCACUGGCUGCAGGGUGGAGUCUACCUGAGCUUCAUGUUGUGGUGGUGGUGGUGGCUCAGUAGGCACAGCCACUUCCCCUGCCUCACUUUCUCACUGCCCAUCUCUGCCCAGUUCCAGUCCCAUCACCGUGCUGGAUGACAAGCCCGUUCAGACCGGGGCUGAGUGGCUUUCAUGGCUUUUCUCUGUUCCGUCUUUGGGGUUCGCCCAUCCAUUCUUUCAGCUAGUGCGCCUUUGCUUGGAUCCCAGCACCCUUGUGCGCUGGAGGUUCACAACCACAUUGAGAAACAGACUGUAGUUCUGGCACCAUGUCUCCAUUCUAGUGACAUAGGGCUGUAGCCAGCAAAGCUGCCUGGCACAACCUCCUCCCCCAAAUUUUCACGCAUCUUGUUGAGGGCAGACUGGGGAAGCAGCGACACUGGGUUGGCAUUCUUGCUGUAUGUUGGCACGAGCCUACGUGCUAGUUGUGGGCCUGUGCAGUCAACAGGCGGAGCUUCCAAGCCUAGGGCUCUUGGCAAAUGGUGUGAAGACGGCUGGUGGGUAAAGCAAAAGCAGAGCAGCAAGCGUGCUGGGGGUGCCAAGCACAAGGACAGGAUGAGUUUGGGGAGGGACGUGUGAGCAUACCAAAGGCAGGUGAGUAAGGAGGUGGUGUGACAUCAAAUACACGGUGGGCUUAGCUCGUGGCUGGGGCGAGGGGGCAGCCGGUGAGCCCUCCCCCCACGGUGAGCACUGGUGUGGCACCCUUCCCUUCCAUGCUGCCUGCUCAGGGCUGACUGGGACCUGGCCAGUUAGUGCUACUUCACCAUUGCCUUCAGAGCCUCCUGUGGGCUCUGAACUAGGGGGUGUCCUGGAGGCACAGCAUGGAAUCUGUACACCCCGAAUAGCCCAGCCCCAGUACAGCAACCCUGCCCAGGGCUGGGUCCUGCUCAGCCCCCAUGUGGUGACACUUCCCAGCAGCUCACCCAACUUUGGGGUCUGGACCAGCGGAGUGGCCUGUCGAGACUGGCCAUGGAGGCCAGGAUGAUGAGGUGGUGCAUCCCGAGGCCCCUGCUCAUGCUGCCUUCUCCCUGUUCGUGAUCACUUGUGCUCAAGGAGAGUGCUGGGGGACUUUGAGAAUGCCUAAACUCAGCCCAGCUGUGGCAGUUGGUUUAUUGCUUUCAGCUGGUACUUGAACCCAGGUCCUGGUCUUGGAGUCUUUCCCAGGUUUAAUCCCCGGAGCUUUCUCUGCAGCUGUAUGACACUGCGCUGACCCCGAAUGAGGAUAGGAAAAUAGAACCGGUGCCAAGCCAGAGUCUCUUUUUCAUUUGGAGUCUGGCUGUCUGCCCAUGACCAGGGUUACAUAAUGGGAAACAUAGCUGGGGCUCUGGAGAGCCCGCGUUUCACCACGCUGCCCAGACCUUCGCAUUCUGAUGCUAUAUAUCUUCCUAAUUGUAGCUCGGAUGCAUUUAUCACACUGCUGGAUUUGAGUCCUUACAUUAAAAAAAACACCAAAUUC